rnacentral:misc_RNA from 1 species
GAUGAAGAACGUAGCGAAAUGCGAUAAGUAAUGUGAAUUGCAGAAUUCAGUGAAUCAUCGAAUCUUUGAACGCACAUUGCGCCCGCCAGUAUUCUGGCGGGCAUGCCUGUCCGAGCGUCAUUUCAACCAUCAAGCCCCCGGGCUUGUGUUGGGGACCUGCGGCUGCCCGCAGGCCCUGAAAACCAGUGGCGGGCUCGCUGUCACACCGAGCGUAGUAGCAAUCACCUCGCUCAGGGCGUGCUGCGGGUUCCGGCCGUUAAACAGCCUUACAAAACCCAAGGUUGACCUCGGAUCAGGUAGGAAGACCCGCUGAACUUAAGCAUAUCAAUAAGCGAAGGA